rnacentral:rRNA from 1 species
UGCCAGCAGCCGCGGUAAUACAGAGGGUGCAAGCGUUAAUCGGAAUUACUGGGCGUAAAGCGUGUGUAGGCGGAUAAUUAAGUCAGAUGUGAAAGCCUUGGGCUCAACCUAAGAACUGCAUUUGAUACUGGUUAUCUUGAGUAUGGUAGAGGAAAGUAGAAUUUCCGGUGUAGCGGUGAAAUGCGUAGAUAUCGGAAGGAAUACCAGUGGCGAAGGCGGCUUUCUGGACCAAUACUGACGCUGAGACACGAAAGCGUGGGGAGCGAACAGGAUUAGAUA